rnacentral:rRNA from 1 species
GACGAACGCUGGCGGCGUGCUUAACACAUGCAAGUCGAACGCUGAAGCCCAGCUUGCUGGGUGGAUGAGUGGCGAACGGGUGAGUAACACGUGAGUAACCUGCCCCCUUCUUUGGGAUAACGCCCGGAAACGGGUGCUAAUACUGGAUAUUCACUGGCCUUCGCAUGGGGGUUGGUGGAAAGGUUUUUUCUGGUGGGGGAUGGGCUCGCGGCCUAUCAGCUUGUUGGUGGGGUGAUGGCCUACCAAGGCUUUGACGGGUAGCCGGCCGGAGAGGGUGACCGGUCACAUUGGGACUGAGAUACGGCCCAGACUCCUACGGGAGGCAGCAGUGGGGAAUAUUGCACAAUGGGCGAAAGCCUGAUGCAGCGACGCCGCGUGAGGGAUGACGGCCUUCGGGUUGUAAACCUCUUUCGCUCAUGGUCAAGCCGCAGCUUUGGGUUGUGGUGAGGGUAGUGGGUAAAGAAGCGCCGGCUAACUACGUG